UACGUAGGGUGCAAGCGUUAAUCGGAAUUACUGGGCGUAAAGCGUGCGCAGGCGGUUGUGCAAGACAGAGGUGAAAUCCCCGGGCUUAACCUGGGAAUGGCCUUUGUGGACUGCACGGCUAGAGUGUGUCAGAGGGGGUAGAAUUCCACGUGUAGCAGUGAAAUGCGGUAGAGAUGUGGACGGAAUACCGAUGGCGAAGGCAGCCC
rnacentral:rRNA from 1 species